rnacentral:rRNA from 1 species
UACGUAGGGUGCGAGCGUUAAUCGGAAUUACUGGGCGUAAAGCGUGCGCAGGCGGCGCGUUAAGACAGGUGUGAAAGCCCCGAGCUUAACUUGGGAAUUGCGCUUGUGACUGGCGAGCUGGAGUGUGGCAGAGGGAGGUGGAAUUCCACGUGUAGCAGUGAAAUGCGUAGAGAUGCGGAGGAACACCGAUGGCGAAGGCAGCCCCCUGGGCUAACACUGACGCUCAGGCACGAAAGCGUGGGGAGCAAACAGG